rnacentral:rRNA from 1 species
UUAAGCGACUAAGCGUACACGGUGGAUGCCCUGGCAGUCAGAGGCGAUGAAGGACGUGCUAAUCUGCGAAAAGCGCCGGCGAGGUGAUAUGAACCUUUGACCCGGCGAUGUCCGAAUGGGGAAACCCAGUGUGUUCCGACACACUAUCGUUAACUGAAUACAUAGGUUAACGAGGCGAACCGGGGGAACUGAAACAUCUAAGUACCCCGAGGAAAAGAAAUCAACCGAGAUUCCCCCAGUAGCGGCGAGCGAACGGGGAGCAGCCCAGAGUCUGAAUCAGCUUGUGUGUUAGUGGAAGCGUCUGGAAAGUCGCACGGUACAGGGUGACAGUCCCGUACACGAAAGCACACAGGUUGUGAACUCGAAGAGUAGGGCGGGACACGUGGUAUCCUGUCUGAAUAUGGGGGGACCAUCCUCCAAGGCUAAAUACUCCUGACUGACCGAUAGUGAACCAGUACCGUGAGGGAAAGGCGAAAAGAACCCCGGCGAGGGGAGUGAAACAGAACCUGAAACCGUGUACGUACAAGCAGUGGGAGCACCUUCGUGGUGUGACUGCGUACCUUUUGUAUAAUGGGUCAGCGACUUAUAUUCUGUAGCAAGGUUAACCGUAUAGGGGAGCCGAAGGGAAACCGAGUCUUAACUGGGCGUUAAGUUGCAGGGUAUAGACCCGAAACCCGGUGAUCUAGCCAUGGGCAGGUUGAAGGUUGGGUAACACUAACUGGAGGACCGAACCGACUAAUGUUGAAAAAUUAGCGGAUGACUUGUGGCUGGGGGUGAAAGGCCAAUCAAACCGGGAGAUAGCUGGUUCUCCCCGAAAGCUAUUUAGGUAGCGCCUCGUGAACUCAUCUUCGGGGGUAGAGCACUGUUUCGGCUAGGGGGCCAUCCCGGCUUACCAACCCGAUGCAAACUACGAAUACCGAAGAAUGUUAUCACGGGAGACACACGGCGGGUGCUAACGUCCGUCGUGAAGAGGGAAACAACCCAGACCGCCAGCUAAGGUCCCAAAGUCAUGGUUAAGUGGGAAACGAUGUGGGAAGGCACAGACAGCCAGGAUGUUGGCUUAGAAGCAGCCAUCAUUUAAAGAAAGCGUAAUAGCUCACUGGUCGAGUCGGCCUGCGCGGAAGAUGUAACGGGGCUAAACCAUGCACCGAAGCUGCGGCAGCGACGCUUAUGCGUUGUUGGGUAGGGGAGCGUUCUGUAAGCCGUUGAAGGUGUGCUGUGAGGCAUGCUGGAGGUAUCAGAAGUGCGAAUGCUGACAUAAGUAACGAUAAAGCGGGUGAAAAGCCCGCUCGCCGGAAGACCAAGGGUUCCUGUCCAACGUUAAUCGGGGCAGGGUGAGUCGACCCCUAAGGCGAGGCCGAAAGGCGUAGUCGAUGGGAAACAGGUUAAUAUUCCUGUACUUGGUGUUACUGCGAAGGGGGGACGGAGAAGGCUAUGUUAGCCGGGCGACGGUUGUCCCGGUUUAAGCAUGUAGGCGGAGGUUCCAGGUAAAUCCGGUACCUUUUAACGCUGAGGUGUGAUGACGAGGCACUACGGUGCUGAAGUAACAAAUGCCCUGCUUCCAGGAAAAGCCUCUAAGCAUCAGGUAACAUCAAAUCGUACCCCAAACCGACACAGGUGGUCAGGUAGAGAAUACCAAGGCGCUUGAGAGAACUCGGGUGAAGGAACUAGGCAAAAUGGUGCCGUAACUUCGGGAGAAGGCACGCUGAUAUGUAGGUGAAGCCCCUGCGGGUGGAGCUGAAAUCAGUCGAAGAUACCAGCUGGCUGCAACUGUUUAUUAAAAACACAGCACUGUGCAAACACGAAAGUGGACGUAUACGGUGUGACGCCUGCCCGGUGCCGGAAGGUUAAUUGAUGGGGUUAGCGGCAACGCGAAGCUCUUGAUCGAAGCCCCGGUAAACGGCGGCCGUAACUAUAACGGUCCUAAGGUAGCGAAAUUCCUUGUCGGGUAAGUUCCGACCUGCACGAAUGGCGUAAUGAUGGCCAGGCUGUCUCCACCCGAGACUCAGUGAAAUUGAACUCGCUGUGAAGAUGCAGUGUACCCGCGGCAAGACGGAAAGACCCCGUGAACCUUUACUAUAGCUUGACACUGAACACUGGUCCUUGAUGUGUAGGAUAGGUGGGAGGCUUUGAAGCGUGGACGCCAGUCUGCGUGGAGCCGUCCUUGAAAUACCACCCUUUAAUGGCUGGUGUUCUAACGUAGACCCGUAAUCCGGGUUGCGGACAGUGUCUGGUGGGUAGUUUGACUGGGGCGGUCUCCUCCCAAAGAGUAACGGAGGAGCACGAAGGUUAGCUAAUCCUGGUCGGACAUCAGGAGGUUAGUGCAAUGGCAUAAGCUAGCUUGACUGCGAGAGUGACGGCUCGAGCAGGUGCGAAAGCAGGUCAUAGUGAUCCGGUGGUUCUGAAUGGAAGGGCCAUCGCUCAACGGAUAAAAGGUACUCCGGGGAUAACAGGCUGAUACCGCCCAAGAGUUCAUAUCGACGGCGGUGUUUGGCACCUCGAUGUCGGCUCAUCACAUCCUGGGGCUGAAGUAGGUCCCAAGGGUAUGGCUGUUCGCCAUUUAAAGUGGUACGCGAGCUGGGUUUAGAACGUCGUGAGACAGUUCGGUCCCUAUCUGCCGUGGGCGCUGGAGAAUUGAGGGGGGCUGCUCCUAGUACGAGAGGACCGGAGUGGACGCAUCACUGGUGUUCGGGUUGUCAUGCCAAUGGCACUGCCCGGUAGCUAAAUGCGGAAAAGAUAAGUGCUGAAAGCAUCUAAGCACGAAACUUGCCCCGAGAUGAGUUCUCCCUGAGACUUUAAGUCUCCUGAAGGAACGUUGAAGACGACGACGUUGAUAGGUCGGGUGUGUAAGCGCAGCGAUGCGUUGAGCUAACCGAUACUAAUGAACCGUGAGGCUUAACCUU